AAGGAUUUUGAAAAGCAUUGGCGGAUGGAGCACAAUGUAUGGAAUUAUAUACAUUUUGUAUUGUAUCUUGAUACAAUCGAUCCAAAUGACUGUAAUGCACUGGAAAAAUAUGUGAAGGAAAGGAUCCCUCCAAAAACUAACCCUGGUGAAAUCAUAGAAUUUUUUCCAAUGUCCAAAGCUAAAGUUCUCACUGGCUGUGACAUACAUGUGAAUGAAGAUUGAAUGACUGAUAUUUUAUUACUUCUAGCAACAAACUUUAGAAAAGUUAUACCUAAUUUUGUUUUUUUUAAAAUUGUAAUUAUUAUAGCUAAAUUUAUACCAAUAGUAGUGAGUGACUAGUAUUUUUAUUAUUUCCAGCUGACUUAGAAAAGUUACCUAAUUUCAUUUUUUUAAUUUUUAACGUG